rnacentral:rRNA from 1 species
AGAGUUUGAUUCUGGCUCAGAACGAACGCUGGCGGCGUGGAUAAGACAUGCAAGUCGAGCGAAGGUUUGCGGGUAGCAAUAUUUGUAAACCUUAGCGGCGAACGGGUGCGUAACACGUGGGCAAUUUACCGCGAAGUUGGGAAUAACCCCGAGAAAUCGGAGCUAAUGCCGGAUGUGGUCCCAGGAUGGCAUCUUCCUGGGAUUAAAGCUGGGGAUCCGCAAGGACCUGGCGCUUCAUGAUAAGCCCGCGGCCUAUCAGCUAAUUGGUGGGGUAAAAGCCCACCAAGGCGAAGACGGGUAGCUGGUCUGAGAGGACGAUCAGCCACACUGGAACUGAGACAUGGUCCAGACACCUACGGGUGGCAGCAGUCGAGAAUCUUUCACAAUGGGGGAAACCCUGAUGGAGCGACGCCGCGUGGGGGAUGAAUGGCUUCGGCCCGUAAACCCCUGUCAUCUGUGAUCAACCCUUUUCGGUUAAUAGCCGGAAAGCUGAUAGUAGCAGAAGAGGAAGGGACGGCUAACUCUGUGCCAGCAGCCGCGGUAAUACAGAGGUCCCAAGCGUUGUUCGGAUUCACUGGGCGUAAAGGGUGCGUAGGUGGCGAGGAAAGUUUGAUGUGAAAGCUCCGAGCUCAACUUGGAAAUGGCAUUGAAUACUACCUUGCUAGAGGAUUGGAGGGGGAACAAAUUCUCGGUGUAGCGGUGAAAUGCGUAGAUAUCGAGAGGAACACCAGUGGCGAAGGCGAGUUCCUAGACAAUUCCUGACACUGAGGCACGAAAGCUAGGGGAGCAAACAGGAUUAGAUACCCUGGUAGUCCUAGCCGUAAACGGUGCACGUUUGCUGUGGGCGGAUUCGACCCCGUCCGUGGCGUAGCUAACGCGAUAAACGUGCCGCCUGGGGAGUACGGUCGCAAGAUUAAAACUCAAAGAAAUUGACGGGGGCCUGCACAAGCGGUGGAGUAUGUGGCUUAAUUCGAUUCAGCGCGAAGAACCUUACCUGGCCUUGACAUGCAGGUGGUAGAAACCUGAAAAGGCAACGACUUCGCAAGAAGAGCCUGCACAGGUGCUGCAUGGCUGUCGUCAGCUCGUGUCGUGAGAUGUUGGGUUAAGUCCCGCAACGAGCGCAACCCUGUCCUGUUGCCACUCCCGCGAGAGCGGGAAGCACUCCGGACAGACUGCCUCAUUUUAAUGAGGAGGAAGGUGGGGAUGACGUCAAGUCAGUAUGGCCCUUACGGCCAGGGCUGCACACGUACUACAAUGCCCGGCACAACGGGAAGCAAGACCGCAAGGUGGAGCAAAUCCCUUAAAUCCGGGCCCAGUUCAGAUUGUCGUCUGCAACUCGACGGCAUGAAGCCGGAAUCGCUAGUAAUGGCGCAUCAGCUACGGCGCCGUGAAUACGUUCCCAGGCCUUGUACACACCGCCCGUCACAUCAUGAAAGCCGGCUGUACCCGAAGUCGCCGAGCCAACUCCGACUUGUCGGAGAGGCAGGUGCCGAAGGUAUGGCUGGUGAUUGGGAUGAAGUAACAAGG